UCUCCCUCCUCCUCCUUCUCCUUUUCCAGUUCAGCGGCGCAAAUUUCUGUUUGUGCCAGUGGGGCGGCCUGGCGAGACCGCAAUUGCUCUACCCCACAGAUUGACGAGCCCUCAGAUGCCGAUUUACUGUACAUGGCAGCCACGCUGGAGCCGCGGCACAUCUGGAGUGGAGUAAGCUUACUCAGAAACAGGGGCCAGCUCCAGCCGGAGCCAACGGAGCUGAGCGCGGCGCUGAAAGGCAGCCCUCCUGCCUCCCCUUCCCGCCUCCCCGGUGCAAGAGCUGCAAGAGCGAGUCCUGCCUGGUUGAGACAAACCGGACAUUCAUUCCUGCUGGCCUGCCCAAGGGAGGAUACCUUUUGGCUCACCUGACAAAUCUGCUACUAACACAUCCUGAGAAGUCAAGUGUUGUGUUUCAGGUGCAAUAAAAACAUGGCUCCUUCGUGGUGUGAGGAACUGCUCGUGGUGACAUUGAAUUUCUCUCAGAGUGCAUCUCAAGAGAUCCCUGUACUUGCACUAGGUGUGGCCCUGGCAGCCACGGUCAGAGCUGCUGCUGGGGCAGCAGGACCCGAGCCAGUGUGGCAUAUUGUGCAGUAUAACCCACAUCUUUUCAUUUCCUCAAUUUUCUUCACGCACCAGUCCUAGUAUGCCUUGCUUGUGAGGUACAUUAAAGGUUUAUCUGCCCUGUAAUUCAACCAUAAAAAGCUACAGCUCAAAAUGCCCAAGAUAAUUUCUUCCAUGAUGUUGGACUCACCUCUGGUGUGUACCUCUGGGCAGCCUUUUGCCCAUUGGUCUCACCAGAGUGAGUGGUUUGCCUCAGCUAUUGUGUGCUGGCGACAAUACAAGCAUGGCCCAAGUAAGACCAAGACAACUGAUAAUGCUUUAAUGCAUAAUACCAGCAGAUCAGAAAUGAUCAACUGCAAGAUGAGGGCUGUUUGAUUUUCAUGGCUCCUAAGGAGUGGUAUGUUAUGAAGUGGUGGUUGUGGUUUGAUGGGGGAACUGUUCUGAAUGCUACGGGAAGCGCACAGGGUCCACUCUGCUUGUGUCAUGUAUAACAGUUUCUCCAUUAUCUGAUGCUGAUUUUCCCUCAAAUGGUGAGCUAUCUUCAUUGGAUACACACAUAGUAUUUGUGGACUUAUUCUACGGUGUUUGAAAGUCUUUUGAAAAGUGCUUAAAAAGACUUUUCCUCUCCAAGGGAGUUCAGUGGUUCAGACUCGUUAAUCUGAAUAAAAUAUUGCUAUCAUAAUUAGUGCUAAUUGGCAGCUUUGUUUGCAGCCUCAUCAGAGUCAGUGAUUAGCUAAACAGAGGUUAUAAAUACAUGUCUUUACUACAGAUAAAUAAAGGGCUUUAAGGUCAACUACUGCUAAACCAGCACUUUUCAGAGCACUGUGUUCAUGUACUGCCUCCUUCCCUUACCAGAAAUUUGUGUUUCACAACCACUGGUUACUUUUCUCAGAUUUGCAGUAAGCAUCGAGUUAUUACGUUAAUGUCUGGUAUGGCUGUUUCUAUGCUGACCCACUAAGGAACACAUUUUGUUUUGACAUGGCCUUGGAAACUUAAAGGAGUACAAAAUGCACAACAUGUAGGCAUGUAAAAAUAAAUACAGGGAACCCACCAGACAUGAAUAGCAAGGAGGCUACAAGCAAUUCAGCCAUAGGGCUAAGAAACAAAUGGUUUCUUUAUGUGGCUCUGGCUGUUCGGUAGCUGUACUUCAGAGCAAUGUAAUGGGUUUUAAUGUUCAUAAAAAUGUUCAAUCUGGUAAACCAAUUUUUAGACUCUUACACAGUCUUGUUGAAAUUGGAUUCAUUUGAACUGCAAUAUAAAAUAUUAUGUUUACUUAACCCUUGUAAACUGAUCUCCUUUGUCUUCACAAACUUGCUGGGCAGUUAAGGACCUAACAUUCCUUCCACAGUUAAUAAAAUUGUGCAUUUUUCUCUCUAUUCAUAAAUUUAAUUACGGUCAGACCUGGUUAAUCAACAUCAAACUUUUUUAAUACUCAUUCUUUUAGGUAGCUUUGGAUUGAAAAAUACAUAUGAAGGUCAUACACUGAGACUUUGUAUAUUAUUCAGGUUCCAGAAGUCUGCUUGGAUUUUUUCUGUGUGCAGCCCUGCAGAUAGUGCAACUUACAUCAGCUGAGGGCUGAUUACACCUAUCAUGCAGAUAGGUAUAAUAUCUGCAUGAUAGGUAUAGAUAUUAUCUGCAUAAUAGAUAAAUAAUGUCAGAGCUUUGCUCUUUAUAAAAGAUGAUAAUCUCUUUCUGUCCUCAUUUUUGAAUAAAAGUCCCACUGAUGUGAAUGGCAGUUAACAUUCAAAGCUGUUUCUCUGUUCUUCUCUCUACCCAUUUCCUGAAUUUUCAUCUGUCUUACGCCAGGGUCCCUGGAGAUAUUUCAUACAGGCAUUUCUAUGUUACUUCCAAAUGGGCAAGAAUAAACUGCAUUCCAUAUGGCCAUUAGGUAGCCUUUUUGCUACAUGUAUAUUGCAUUUCCCAAGGCACUCAGGAUUUACAAAAAUCCUUGAAUGGUACAGUUGAUGUUGAUCAAAGAGCCCGUGAUUCAAGAAUUUAUGAAGAAAGAUUUUGAGGUUUUCUGUCUGAAAUUUUGCAGGGAAUACAGUGGCUGGAGUAGUGUUUAAAAAUCCUAAAGAUUUUACUGGAGUUAGCUGGUCAGUAGGAGUGAAAUCCCUUUACAGCCUUAAAAGACGAUAUAACUUGGUGUGCACGUUUGUUAAUUUAACAAUGAAUGCCUUGCACUUGGUUUGCAUGGAUUGUUGAGCUCCUGGGGACCAUCUCACCCCACUUUCAGUGUGGAAUAUUAAACAAAGUACAAGAUUAGAAUUUUAACUAAAAGUGAAUAGUGAAAGGACAUAACAUGCUGCAAGCUUGGCUUUCACCUCAGAGCUGAUUAAUGACCACAGAAGAUAAAUGGAAAAGGUCAAACCUAUCAAUUUUAAAACACAGAGCAAUUACAGAGCUGCCAUUUCUUAAGUUCAAGCUUCCUGCUACUAUAAGUCCUGCUUGCAGUGGCUUAUGCUGAAUGGUCAGUAAGGCUUAUGAGAGCACUUUGCAUAAAGCUGAAUUCUAUCAGGGCUACUUUUCAGCUGUGAAUCAGAUACACUUUUGCGUGUAAGCUCAAUAUUCUGAUACUACUAGGAUAGAUGUGAAGCUGUGCAGGAUUUAAGCAAAGCACCUACCAUAAUGAGGAAAGAAAAUAUGAGAUCCUUUUAUGUGUAAGCCCCUACGUUUGUAAUUUACAGAAGAUAGCUUCAUCUCUUGGGAACCAUCUGUAUUUCAUUGGGAUGCUCUUUUCUACCCAGGUUUAUGACAUGACUAAUCGAAGCACUGGGAGAUCAAGUGCCUCACUCAAGGUCACAGAUCAUUUUGGUAGCUCUGUCUCAAGCCUAGAGUUCAACAUGACUGACUUUGUGAUAACACAGCCCCUGUGAACUCCAAAACUAAAGGCAAUACAAAUAACUGUGUAUGGCGUAAUCAGUAAAAUACUUUGUUGUUGUCGUUGUUGUUCAACAUUCCCUUUUAAAAAAAUAUGUGGAGAGAGAGUACAUGAAGAGUGACUAGGAAGGGAGUAAGUGAAAGAAAACAGUGUGUUCUGUACUCAUAAAACAGUAACAAGGACUUGUACAAACUGUAUUCAUGCCUAGAGCUUGAAUGUUUCAAAGUUGUUUCUACAGAGUGCCUUGUAAUCACUAUCCUCAGCAUCCUGUUUAAGAGAAGCUAUUAACUGCUUGCAGUACUUUCCUUCUAUUUUUCAGUAAGAUAAUAUGAGGCAAAGGCCAAGAGCUAAUGUCAGGUUCUGUCCAAAGCACUUUUUUUUUUUUUUUAAGAAGAGGUCUGUUAGUCGAUAUUUUUGAAGUGGCAGAAAGGAAGCACCGGGGCAGUGUCCUUCCUGGCUCCGCACAGCUUCCUGCGCGCUUCCCUGCCGAAGUGUUAGUCAGAACGCUGCAACAAUUCAUGCUCAGCCUCCCACGCCAUCGUCUGCCUGGCUUUGAUUUUCUGAACUUGUACAAUCGACUGAUGGGUCUGUUCUCUGACUUAAUGAUGAGUGUACAGGUGGCAGAGCAAAGAGCCAGCAGAAAUAUCUUUGUGAUUCAGAGAUUGUGAAUGAUCUCUGUGUGUGCGUCUCUGAAUACACCUGCCUUUUAAUGCUAUAGUAGACACGGUUGCGUAAUGUACCCAGAUUAAAGUCUACAGGGCUCUUGGAUAAACCCGUUGUGGUUAAAAAAAAAAUAAAAAAUUAGAGUUGACUGCUGACUAAAAUGCUUUCACGCGCACUUUUCUCAUAUCCCUGGUGAUGAACUCUCUCCAGACUUCUUCCCACCUGUUUAUGGCUUGGCUCUCUGGAUCAGGUGCUGUUCCCAUUGGCACCAGUGCAAAUCCAGUUACCUGAUGUAAACUAGAACCAGUUGGGCAGCUCAGGCUUCACAUCGUUGUAGUCAUUGUGGAGCCACAAGUUGUGAAUGGAGUGAUGUCUAGCACCAUAAUUUCCCGCAAAUGGUGAAGGAGUCGCUGAUUUUGCCUGUAGCAACAGCUGCUGAGAAAGGGAAGAGAAAAACCUCUGCAAGAACAGGAGGAGAUAACAAAGGCAGUGUGCAGUCAAGAGUCAGUCAAAGAAUCAUGAUUAUCUUUGACUAUAUGUUCACUGAAAGAAACAAGCUUUUUGUUUUUCUGCCUCUUGUGGGUGUGCCUUUUAUCACAUGUCCUUUUUUAAAAAAUAUAACCAGCCUUUUUCUUCUCCCCUUUCUAUUCUAAUGGUAUAGCUAUUAGUGGCUUCAUCUUAAGAACUAGUGUAGUAAUGCAGUCCAAUCUUCAUUCUCUCUCAACCUUUUUUAAGUCCUUAUGCUAAUUUUGUGUUAAGCCCAAACUGUCUCAUCAAAGAGAGCCCCACUGUUCUGACUUCAGUUGUCUCUGUGGUGAGAAACUUGUUUUUACCUUCCCAUAGCUGAAUGCAUCAAGGAAGGCUAAUACAGAGCCUCUCAAGAAACCAGUAGGCUUUUACUUUUCUUUAAGAGGACAGAGGAUAACAGAGUUUGGGAAAGUUAUACCCAGCAGUAAUAGCGCUAAUCCUCGGCACAUUUAUAUCUGCUGUUCUAAGGGAUCAUACUGCUCUGCACCGUUGGGAGAGAGUGCAGGUAAAUGUUUAGUGAGAAACUAGAUAUUGAAGCAAGAGAUAUGAAAUGUUAUGAGGACAAAAGGAUUCUGCUGUUGUCAGAAACACCUGGUUCCUCGGAUCAGCCAGGGUCAACGAAGCCACCUAUGUUAUCCUGCCACAUAGAUAUGAAAUAUAGAAUAGAAAGACAUAGCAAUUCCUACGAGAUGACAGUUAUUAGCACCUUCUCCAUUACCCUGUUAUUAGCUUGCCUUGCUGUUAGCAAGUCAGGCUCUAUUCAUGCAUUUCAAUAGGAAUGGCUUUGUAACCAAGUUCUGCAGAUGACUCCUGUAGUUUUGUGAGAAUUAACUGUUAUGUGACAGGAAACAUUAAGAGUGGAGUGGAUGCGUUGAUGUACUCAAUGAUUUUACAUUAUUAAAAUAUUUGCUGUGCAGCUGUUUAACCAGAUUUGUUGCUGCUUUUUGUUGUUAUUGUUGUUGCUGUAGUUCAGUUCCUUAUUUUCAUGUCAGUUUUGAUACAGCCAGAAAACUGCCCACAUUGUUUUUGUACUUGGAGCAGUUUAUUGUGUGUUUAGUGUAUUUCCAAUGCAAUCUAAAUGUUUGUGUUAUUAUAGUAGCUCUGACAUGUUCACAAAUAAUAUUAUCUGGGAUUUGAUGAGUAACAACUGUUGAUGGAAUGCAAACUUGACCUGUAUUAAAAAAAAGUUUCUUCCAGCCAUCUUGGACACUAAAGCCUGUCUGGUACAUCAACUUACUUUUGUACUCAGCAGCUGCUUUAGGUAGAUUUACAGUAAGCCAUGAAAUGGAAUCUCAAUGAAGUGAGUGCCCACUCUGGGCCUAAACUUUUACAUUUUGUCCCUCAGAUUUUUAGCAGGAGACCUCGCCCACUCUAUAUCUGCUUCAUCUACGAAAAUGCUUCGCUUUUUUGCACAAUAUUGGAGACAUAUGAAUCUGACAAAUUACAUUUGCUGUUAGUUUAGAAGAAAUCUGUGAAUAUUGUAAAUGAAAACGUGUGGAUCUGUUUUACCGCUUUGUUCAUGAUUGUGUUAUGUACCUUUACACAGUGGAUGGUAACUAUCAAGAAAUCAAAACUGUAUUUUUUAUUGUUAUUUAUGUUCGCUUUUCAUUAUUUCAAGAUAAAAUUCUUCUAGUGCCCCAAGAUGCUGAUGGCAUAUGUAACACUAAAAGUCUACAUUUGUCUUUUAUAUUACUAUUUCAUAAUCCUAAAGAUGUUAACACAAGGUUUCUUGGAAUAUUUAUUAAAAAAAUAGCCACUCUGCAGUACAUACGUGACUGUGUUUUGUGGUGCUAAAGAAUUUCUCUGUAUCCUAUUGAGGAAAAAUGGUAGAAAAAUAAAACUAGGAGAGAAUUCACCUGCUUCAGCUCUCUGACCCAAGGCUUCUCAUCUUGAGUAUUCCUGACAGCUGCCUGUGGAAGUCUUUGAACUGUUUGGUACUGUACCAUAGGACUUCCUGAUUUUUUUCAAUUUGCGUUAGUUUAGAGGCAUCCCUGUUACUUUUAGGUUAAGCUGUGCUCUGCUUGAGAAGGCCCUGGUGCAGGGGCUUGUUCCCAAGAUUUCUCAUUGUUGCAAACUGUGGCUCAGCUGUGCUGUAGCUGCCAUAAGCUGCUGUCUGCCCUUGCUGCUUUAAGCACUGUAAUGGUUAAAACUUCUUCAAGGCAGUCUGUGGUUUAGUGGCAGGACCUGAUAGUUUGUGACGACACACAAGUGUCAGUUUGAGAGGAGCUGUUCUGAGGUCGGCUGUGGUAAGAAGGUCACUCAGACGUAAUGUGAACAUAGCAUCUACCUACAGCUACCUACAGAAUAAUAUGUAUUUUGGGCUUUUUCUUUCAAUCUACUCUUUAAUUUACUUUGCUGUUGCAAGACAGUAAAACCUUGCUUUUUGUUCUUUGGUGUUUAUAGGUUGCUGCAAAGACGUAAUGGUAAUAUUUUUUACAAAAGGUAACAGUUGUCAUGCUUGUAAAUCAGAAUAAUAAAUCAUGAAGUUUCUUA